AGAGUUUGAUCAUGGCUCAGGAUGAACGCUAGCGGCGUGCCUAACACAUGCAAGUCGAACGUGAAGCCUUGAGUUUACUCGAGGUGGAAAGUGGCGCACGGGUGAGUAACACGUAGGUGACCUGCCCCGGAGAGGGGGACAACCACUGGAAACGGUGGCUAAUACCCCGUACCUUCAGAAGGAUUAGAAGCUUCUGAAGAAAGCUCCGGCGCUCUGGGAGGGGCCUGCGGCCCAUCAGCUAGUUGGUAGGGUAACGGCCUACCAAGGCAAUGACGGGUAGGGGACCUGAGGGGGUGACCCCCCACACUGGCACUGAGACACGGGCCAGACUCCUGCGGGAGGCAGCAGUGAGGGAUAUUGCGCAAUGAGCGAAAGCUAGACGCAGCAACGCCGCGUGGGUGAUGAAGGCCUUCGGGUUGUAAAACCCUUUUCUGGGGAAGUAGAAAGGAAGGUACCCCAGGAAUAAGAGUCGGCUAACUACGUGCCAGCAGCCGCGGUAAAACGUAGGACUCAAGCGUUAUCCGGAUUUAUUGGGCGUAAAGCGCGUGCAGGCGGCGCGGUAAGUUGGACGUUAAAGCUCCUGGCUCAACUGGGAGAGGCCGUUCAAUACUGCCGUGCUGAGGC
rnacentral:rRNA from 1 species